rnacentral:sRNA from 1 species
AGAUGAUAACCCAGAAGGGUCUGAGCCAGGAGGCAGGAGAACCAGGCUGGGGGGCAGGCACAUGGUCCUCUCUGGGACUGAGAGAGGGGCUGAAGUGGAUCUGCCAGGAUGGAAUAGGCAGUGUGUGCACACAUGUGCUGUUCUGAGGACACAGACCUGCCCUACCCACCACCCCAGAGGGAGGCCAACAUCUACAUGGUUCCUCAGAACAUCAAGCCAGCGCUCCAGCGUACCGCCAUCGAGAUCCUGGCAUGGGGCCUGCGGAACAUGAAGAGUUACCAGCUGGCCAACAUCUCCUCCCCCAGCCUCGUGGUAGAGUGUGGGGGCCAGACGGUGCAGUCCUGUGUCAUCAGGAACCUCCGGAAGAACCCCAACUUUGACAUCUGCACCCUCUUCAUGGAAGUGAUGCUGCCCAGGGAGGAGCUCUACUGCCCCCCCAUUACCGUCAAGGUCAUCGAUAACCGCCAGUUUGGCCGCCGGCCUGUGGUGGGCCAGUGUACCAUCCGCUCCCUGGAGAGGUUCCUGUGUGACCCCUACUUGGUGGAGAGUCCAUCCCCACAGGGUGGCCCAGAUGAUGUGAGCCUACUCAGUCCUGGGGAAGACGUGCUCAUCGACAUUGAUGACAAGGAGCCCCUCAUCCCCAUCCAGCUUGCAGACGGUCUGUCGAGCUUGGCCCUCACUAACACGGCUUCUCCAUCCAGCCCUCAUGAGGAAGAGUUCAUCGAUUGGUGGAGCAAAUUCUUUGCCUCCAUAGGGGAGAGGGAAAAAUGCGGCUCC